UACGUAGGGGGCAAGCGUUGUCCGGAAUCAUUGGGCGUAAAGAGCGUGUAGGCGGUCCGGUCAGUCGGUUGUGAAAGUCAAGGGCUCAACCCUUGAAUGCCGGCCGAUACUGCCGGGCUAGAGUCCGGAAGAGGUGAGUGGAAUUCCUGGUGUAGCGGUGAAAUGCGCAGAUAUCAGGAGGAACACCAAUGGCGAAGGCGGCUCACUGGACCGGAACUGACGCUGAGGCGCGAAAGCGUGGGGAGCAAACAGG
rnacentral:rRNA from 1 species